rnacentral:lncRNA from 1 species
GGAACUCCUGGGCUCAAGCGAUCCGCCCACCUCGGUCUUCGAAAGUGCUGGGAUUCCAGGCGUGAGCCGCCGCGCCGGCCUUAACAGCGCAUUUUCACCAGCCCCGCCCCGGCCGCGCGCGGCACUGGAAACCCCAGCGCCUUCUGGACGGCGAGGGUGACGCACUGGCCCUCUUCCUCGGUGUCCUCAGGUGCGUGGCGGCGGCAGUGAGAAUGAGUUCUUCGAGAUCGCCGGGAGACCACACAAUAACGACGAAGUUACUUGCCGGGCUACCCGCCGAGACUUGAAAACUUCGCGGCGACUUCUCUCGCCGGCCUUAGCAUCGCCCCCAUUUUUCAGGCCCCCACUGGUCGCGUCCGGCGCUGGAGGAGCCCAGUCAGCCGGCGCCUGCCGGGUUAGCACGUGGACUCCGAGGGGCCAACUAUCAGCUUUCCCUGACAAAAUGCCUUUGAGCUCCCCCACAGCUCUGAAACUCCAGCUUGGGAGCAGGGAGAGUGCAAUCUGUGACCUGUAAAGGGGCGCUGGGCAAAAGGGCCCGAGAGAAGGCGUCCUUUCCAUUCCCUUCCCAUCUCAAGCUGAGUUCAGAAAUGACACGAAAUAAUUUAAUCAACUAUCAGUCAAGGUCGGGCUCACGCCUGUAAUCCCAGCAGUUUGGGAGGCCGAGGUGGGCGGAUCACCUGAGGACAGGAGUUCGAGACCAGCCUGACCAACAUGACGAAGCCCCGUCUCUACUAAAAAUACAAAAAUUAGCCAGCGGUGGUGGUGCGCACCUGUAGUCUCAGCUACUUGGGAGGCUGAGGCCAGAGAAUCGCUUGAGCCCGCGAGGUCGAGGCUGCAGUGAGCCGAGAUCACACCACUGCACUCCAACCUGGAUGACAGAGGGAGACUCUGUCUCAAAAAAUAAUAAAUAAAUAAAUAAAUAAAUAAACUAUCGGUCAAGG